GCGCCACAGUGGAAGAAGGACAGACUUUCGGUUGUGCUGGGUCAGCCGAAGUCAGUUUGUGUUUGAUCUCAUCUCUUCAGCCAUGGGACUUCUUCUGUGUGUGGCGCUAUUAUCGCUGCUGCUAAUUGGAGAGCUUCAGGCAAGCGCUAAACCUUCCUAUUGGGGAUUUGAGCCAGGCAUUUCGGACAUGAGCUAUGAGCCCCAGGUUCCCA